CAGCAGCCACGGUAAAACGUAGGUGGCAAGCGUUGUCCGGAAUUAUUGGGCGUAAAGGGCUCGCAGGCGGUUUCUUAAGUCUGAUGUGAAAGCCCCCGGCUCAACCGGGGAGGGUCAUUGGAAACUGGGAAACUUGAGUGCAGAAGAGGAGAGUGGAAUUCCACGUGUAGCGGUGAAAUGCGUAGAGAUGUGGAGGAACACCAGUGGCGAAGGCGACUCUCUGGUCUGUAACUGACGCUGAGGAGCGAAAGCGUGGGGAGCGAACAGGAUUAGAUACCCGCGUAGUCCCUGUCUCUUAUAC
rnacentral:rRNA from 1 species